CCUACGGGUGGCAGCAGUGGGGAAUAUUGGGCAAUGGGCGCAAGCCUGACCCAGCAACGCCGCGUGAAGGAAGAAGGCUUUCGGGUUGUAAACUUCUUUUCUCAGGGACGAAACAAGUGACGGUACCUGAGGAAUAAGCCACGGCUAACUACGUGCCAGCAGCAGCGGCAAUACGUAGGUGGCAAGCGUUAUCCGGAUUUACUGGGUGUAAAGGGCGUGUAGGCGGGAAAGCAAGUCAGAUGUGAAAACCAUGGGCUCAACCUGUGGCCUGCAUUUGAAACUGUUUUUCUUGAGUACUGGAGAGGCAGACGGAAUUCCUAGUGUAGCGGUGAAAUGCGUAGAUAUUAGGAGGAACACCAGUGGCGAAGGCGGUCUGCUGGACAGUAACUGACGCUGAGGCGCGAAAGCGUGGGGAGCAAACAGGAUUAGAUACCCGUGUAGUC
rnacentral:rRNA from 1 species